rnacentral:rRNA from 1 species
GACGAACGCUGGCGGCGUGCCUAAUACAUGCAAGUCGAGCGGAUGAUGAAGAAGCUUGCUUCUUCUGAUUUAGCGGCGGACGGGUGAGUAACACGUGGGCAACCUGCCCUGUAGAUUGGGAUAACUCCGGGGAACCGGGGCUAAUACCGAAUAAUCCAUUACCUCACAUGAGGAAAUGUUAAAAGACGGCAUCUCGCUGUCACUACAGGAUGGGCCCGCGGCGCAUUAGCUAGUUGGUGAGGUAACGGCUCACCAAGGCGACGAUGCGUAGCCGACCUGAGAGGGUGAUCGGCCACACUGGGACUGAGACACGGCCCAG